rnacentral:piRNA from 1 species
UGCAAAAGGAGAAGCUGAGCAGGACC